CUCUCAUUGUGUUUUAUUUACCAGCUUGCUUUUAAAGAGCCAGGACCAGUCCACUAGCUGUGCAGAGUGCUGACCUCUUGGAUGAGAGCCCUGACCUCAUAGGAUAUCUGAGCUUGUCAUAAUUCAGGUGGGUUCUGUAGGGAAGCAGGGGCUCGUGGGGAGUGGGAGGAAGCUGGGGAGAAGAUGAGUUGAGAGCAGUCCAGUGUGAGGGAAAGUGGGGAUCCUGGGCCAACUUACCAUUAAGAGGGUCCAGUCCUGUGACUGCUGUGAAGUAACCAGGAUUCCACAUAGAGAUGGGGCUCAAAGUCAGCCCAGGAGCAGCACUGUGGUCCCAGAACUAAUAUUUGGCGACUCCAAGGCCAGGGAUAAAAAUGAAGAGAUGGAGAGACAAGAUUUCCUGGCCUCUAAUUGGCAGCACCCGUUGACUCUGCUCGUGACCAGACUCAUGAACGCUUCAUCCAAGGUUUCAUGUCAUCCGUGUGAGGAACCUCUCUGAUUUGAGAAAAUCUUUCUUAAAAUGGGCUUCUAGUUGUAAAGCCAUUGUCUUUUUAGGAAAUCAUCAAAUACCUUAAAGCUAGACACGCAAUCAGCUGCAUAAAUGACACACUCACUAAAUCAAUCCUUUAUCAGAUGCAGCAUGGCCCUGUUGUGAACGGAAUGAUUGUGAACGGAAUGAUGGCCAAGGAGCUUUAUGCUUCUGCACCGCCAGCUCACACGAUGGUCCGUGUAUUGCCCCGUGGAAAACCGGGGGUGGAAAGCUGUCUCCACGUUCUGCUGCCGAAGCAGCAAGCUGAUUCACACAUCUUGAAGGCACAGUGGAACAUGGAAGGGUGCAUAUGAGACUUGAUUUUGAGGAUGAAACUUCCUGUCUGAAUCGCUAAGUCUCCCAGCAGGGGUGUUAAUGUCCCUGUGAGAUGCAGGCUUCCCACAGACACACCCAGGUUGCGAGUGGGUUCAACAUGGUCACAGGAGCUUCAAAUGGUGAUCCUGAUGCUCAUGGCCAUGCAUUGAGAACAACUGUGUAAGAAGAUAUGGAUAAUGCUUGAAAACUACUAGUAUUAGCACCAUUUUGCAUAUACUCCAAGGAAGAUCUCAAUAAAUGCUUAAUGGAAAUAAGUAAAGGUAUGAAUGCUGGACCUAAUACAGGAGGAAGACCCAGGUGAUUUGUGUACAAUUUGGACACAAGCUCUUGCCAACCACCUGAGAGAUUCCAACAAUGAGAUGAGAUUCCUUACCUUGAACCAGAUAAUUUGGAAUGAAUGUCUAGGCAGAACUUCUGCUUCAGAAUGACCACAAUUAACUACCAGACAACCAACUUUGGGGACAUAUCAGUAGGUGCAGAGCAUUUAGAACUGGAAGGACCAUUUGAAAUACAUAGUUCAUCUCUCUCAUGUUACUGAGGAGGAAAACUGAAGUGCACGGAGGUAAAGUAACUCGCCCAGUAUCACAAUUUGUGUUUGUACCAUUGCUGAGGUGAGCACCUGGGCCUUCUAACCCCAAA
rnacentral:lncRNA from 1 species